AAUAUUGGACAAUGGGCGAAAGCCUGAUGCAGCAACGCCGCGUGCGUGAUGAAGGCCUUCGGGUCNUAAAGCUCUUUGAUCAGGGANGAUAAUGACAGUACCUGGAAAACAAGCCACGGCUAACUACGUGCCAGCAGCCGCGGUAAUACGUAGGUGGCGAGCGUUGGCCGGAAUUACUGGGAGUAAAGGGUGCCUAGGUGGAUAUUUAAGUUGGAUGUGAAAUCCCCGGGCUAAACCCGGGAACUGCAUUCCAAACUGGAUAUCUAGAGUGCAGGAGAGGAAAGCGGAAUUCCUAGUGUAGCGGUGAAAUGCGUAGAUAUUAGGAGGAACACCAGUGGCGAAGGCGGCUUUCUGGACUGUAACUGACACUGAGGCAUGAAAGCGUGAGUAGCAAACAGG
rnacentral:rRNA from 1 species